GCCCCUGUAGCCCAACGGCAGAGGCAUGCGACUUAAAAUCGCACAAGUGUGGGUUCGACCCCCACCGGGGGCA
rnacentral:tRNA from 3 species